rnacentral:lncRNA from 1 species
ACGGGGAGGAGGGAGGAGGAGGCGCCGACGGCGGCGUGGAGAGGCUCGUGGUCGUGGAGGCGCAGGUCAGCUCGGAACCAUACGAGCGUGCGGCGGCGACCGGCGGCGCCGGGGGCACCGGACGGGAAGGAGCGGGAGAGGCUGGGCGUGGAGGCGGGGAACGGGGAGAGGAGGGAGGCUGCGGCGGCGUUGAGGCGGGUGGAGCGGCGCGGGGAGGAGGAGGCGGCCGAGGGGUGGAGGCAGACGGCGAGGGUGGAGACUUGGGUGGGUAGGUGGAUGGCGGAGGGGACGGAUGCGAGGGUGGCGGGGAUGGUGGGGGAGCGGAGGGAAAGGGAGAGGGAGAAGGAGGCGAAGGGGAGGCUGGGGUCGUCGCGAGGGUGGGCGGCGGGGUCGGAGUCGGAGGCGGCGGCCAUGGAUGGCGAGGUGGCGGCGGCGGCGGUUGUUG